CCUACGGGUGGCAGCAGUGAGGAAUAUUGGUCAAUGGACGAGAGUCUGAACCCGCCAAGUAGCGUGAAGGAUGACUGCCCUAUGGGUUGUAAACUUCUUUUAUAUGGGAAUAAAAUGUUCCACGUGUGGGAUUUUGUAUGUACCAUAUGAAUAAGGAUCGGCUAACUCCGUGCCAGCAGCCGCGGUAAUACGGAGGAUCCGAGCGUUAUCCGGAUUUAUUGGGUUUAAAGGGAGCGUAGGUGGAUUGUUAAGUCAGUUGUGAAAGUUUGCGGCUCAACCGUAAAAUUGCAGUUGAAACUGGCAGUCUUGAGUACAGUAGAGGUGGGCGGAAUUCGUGGUGUAGCGGUGAAAUGCUUAGAUAUAACGAAGAACUCCGAUUGCGAAGGCAGUUCACUGGACUGCAACUGACACUGAGGCUCGAAAGUGUGGGUAUCAAACAGGAUUAGAUACCCGAGUAGUC
rnacentral:rRNA from 1 species